UACGUAGGGUGCAAGCGUUGUCCGGAAUUAUUGGGCGUAAAGAGCUCGUAGGCGGUUUGUCGCGUCGGCUGUGAAAUCCCGAGGCUCAACUGGGAGCUUGCAGGCGAAACUGCCGUGCUGGAGUGUGGGAGAGGUGCGUGGAAUUCCUGGUGUAGCGGUGAAAUGCGUAGAUAUCAGGAGGAACACCUGUGGCGAAAGCGGCGCACUGGACCACAACUGACGCUGAGGCGCGAAAGCUAGGGGAGCAAACAGG
rnacentral:rRNA from 1 species